rnacentral:lncRNA from 1 species
GGCUCUGGGGUGACGCGCGGGUUCCUUCCUGAGGGGGCACGGGACGACCCCAGCCCCACAUCGCCACCAGGCCCCACCUUCUCCGCGCCCGGCGGCUAAAAAUACUCCCCACAGCUGAAUGGGGAAGUGCCUACAUGACAAGGAAGAACAUCACUGGGAAGACUCCAGGGAGACACCAGAGGAUUUGCUGAGAGGAGCGAUGGAUUCAAUGUCUGCAGCCAGUCCAGCACUUAACCUCUUCAUCCACAGCAACUGA